rnacentral:rRNA from 1 species
CAGUCGCCGCGGUAAUACGAAGGUCCCGAGCGUUGUUCGGAAUCACUGGGCGUAAAGGGAGCGUAGGCGGCGUGGUAAGUCAGAUGUGAAAUCCCGGGGCCCAACCCCGGAACUGCAUCCGAUACUGCCGUGCUAGAGGAUUGGAGAGGUAGCUGGAAUUCUUGGUGUAGCAGUGAAAUGCGUGGAGAUCAAGAGGAACACUCGUGGCGAAAGCGAGCUACUGGACAAUAUCUGACGCUGAGGCUCGAAGGCCAGGGUAGCGAAAGGGAUUAGAUACCCCGGUAGUCCCUGUCUCUUAUAC